rnacentral:rRNA from 1 species
CUAGCGACUUCAGAGUUUGAUCCUGGCUCAGGAUGAACGCUAGCGGCAGGCUUAACACAUGCAAGUCGAGGGGCAGCAUGAGACGGAGAUUCGUCGAAGUCUUGAUGGCGACCGGCGCAAGGGUGCGUAACGCGUGAGCAACUUGCCCGUUUCAGGGGGAUAACCGGUGGAAACGCCGACUAAUACCCCAUAGCAUUGCGAGAAGGCAUCUUUUUGCAAUUAAAGAAAUUCGGAAACGGAUAGGCUCGCGUGACAUUAGCUAGAUGGUGAGGUAACGGCUCACCAUGGCGACGAUGUCUAGGGGUUCUGAGAGGAAGGUCCCCCACACUGGAACUGAGACACGGUCCAG